UGCCUCUUUUUACUAAAGUUUGGCAGUGUCUACAAGACACAUGGUUAUUUAAUUGUUUCUAGGAGUGUUGUGCUUCCUCUCAUGUCCACAUCCUCGAAUAAACAGGAGACUCCCCAGGGUUGGGGUGGUGACUUCCCCCUACACUCUAGCUCUUAGCUGUGUUCACAGAGGUUUCUGAGAAGAGCAGGUAUCCCCACCCCAGACUCAGAGGAUGAACACCUAAGGAAAGGCUUCUGCUGUCUUUAUUAUGAAGAGAGGCACUGCAGGGUCUGGGUUUCCUAGCCUGAUGCUGCAUCAGUUUCCAUGGGUUUCUAGCCUAUUUUCCAGGUGUCCCUGGACAUGGAGGAGGCCUCAGUGAACGGAUGCUUUGAAAUCUUGGGGCCUUGUGACUAGGGCUCAAGGGAGGGAUGGCCCCUCCCAGGGACAACUAAUUCCUAGAGAUAGCAAACAACUGGCCUGAGUGCAUGCCUUUGGUAUUCAAACCAACAAAUCCAGAGCACAUACUGGGAUCUGCCUCCUAUUAUCAGGUUCUGCAGUCUUAGAUACUAUCCCCUUGCCCUCAGUCACCCCAGGCCAGGUACUAGACAACUAGAAACCACCUCUAUAACACAGAGCCUGCCAAAAUUCUCAAACUAUCUAAUAAUUCCCAGCCUGCUCAGCUGCAUAUCCUGCUUCACCCAUGACUUCCCCCAACAACCACAAUAAAGGCUUUGUUCAUGUUGUUUUCCUCUUGUCCCUUCUGACUCCUGACAGAUCCUGGUGCUUCCCUGUGUGGACUUAGGUGGUAUGGCAUGUGCCUUUCUCUUGGAAAUUGUAAGUAACAAACUAUCUUUUCCGUGGCAACAAUUUCCUGAUCUGUUGAUCUUACCAGCCUGAUUGUAUCAAAUCCUGGGUACAUUUUCAAAUAAGUGUCAAUCAACGCCAAGUAAUCUAGGCACUCAAAAUUGCCAGAUAAUUCAGAAUUAUUAAUAGUAGGCUCAAGCCAUUUGAAGAUUUAUAUCCCCACUUUGCUAAUAGAUUUAAUACCUCAGAGAAUUUAUUCUAUGAGCAGAGGAGCCACUUGGGGAAAGAAUGGCAUUUAAACUCCUUUGGAAUGAAAUCCAGAGGUUGGCACAGCCAUGAUCCUAAUGAUUCUUAUGAGAGUUAACUCAAGAGGUCUAGAUUCAGAUGAUUUUCAGUACAGAACAUUUGCAAGAGCAUUCAUUGGUAGCCCUGACAGUAAGGUGGGAAUUAACUCUGUGAUGUGUCAACAAUGGGAACAAUGCUUUUCAAACCUUUUCUCAAAGAUCUUUUGCUGAAAGCAUUAGGCUACCUUGCCUUUCUUGAUUAAAGUGACUUUAUGCCUGGAGGAAGGCUGUGAAUGAGCAGAGGCUCUCUGUUUCACAGAAAAGCUUCUCAUCAUACUUGGAAAAGGAUGGUGUAAAAUUUUUCAGGUCAGUUCACACCAGGGCGAUUCUAUGUUGGAAGUACUUGUGCUUCUAGAACAACUUGACAACAGGAAAUUGUCAAACAUUUUCUUAAGCUCCUGGAAGCUUACUAGGGGAGUCAGGGAUUGUUCCUUCUAGAUUUGAGCACUGUACCAGUUUACUUAGGAAAGAAAAAUGUUCUAAGAGAAGAGUGAAGCACCUAAACAUUAAAUUGAACAAGGCUGGCUCAAAACUUAUCCACAUGUCUGGGGCGUGGCCCUAGCAGCUCCUGGCAGGGGACACUGAUGGAAACCAGAAGUGCCCUAUGAGGCUCUUCUGUUUCACAACCUUGCUGUCAGUCAGGCUGGGCAUGCUUGGACAAGGAGGAGAGGUUAGGGUGGAUGGUGAGAUAAAUUGCAGAAUACACUGUAUAUGCCUGACUAGCAGUAGAAUUUUCAUAGACCCUGAUUUCCUGGAUUUGGGGAGGAGACAUAUCACUAUGAUGUCUUGAUGAUAGGUCAAAUAAAGAGCUUAUUGUGGAAGAAUGCAUGUCCUCAGAAUAGUAGGACUUCAUUCUCUGUGUUCUGUCACUGCUCACACAUGCUCAGGGCUUAUCAGUAUCAAUUUCCUCACAUUCAUUACCUCUUUAUUGCUCACAAUAGGGGUAUGAUAUUAUUGUUACAUCUAUGGUCAUGGAGCCUGAGGCUCAAGGAUUAAGGGUCUUGCCUGAAGUAACAGACAGUGAGGGUCAGGGUGUGGAUUUUAGCCAUGCUCUUAACCCAAUCCACACUGUGGCAGGCUAAAAUUCACCAUGUGUCUGUUCCACAAGGUAAGAGGCAGGUCAGCUUUUCUGAAGCAAUUCAACUUCAGUCAUGUUUUUCUUACCCCAAAGGCACUAUUACUGGCUAUUCCAUGUGCUGAAGAAGCUUGCUGUGGCUUGCAGUCACCCAGAGAGGUGUUUUCAG